UACAGAGACUGCAAGCGUUAUUCGGAUUCACUGGGCGUAAAGGGUGCGCAGGCGGCCAAGUGUGUUAGGCGUGAAAGCCCGGGGCUUAACCCCGGAAUUGCACCUAAAACUACAUGGCUAGAGCAUUGGAGAGGGUAGCGGAAUUCACGGUGUAGCAGUGAAAUGCGUAGAUAUCGUGAGGAACACCAGAGGCGAAGGCGGCUACCUGGACAAUUGCUGACGCUCAGGCACGAAAAGCGUGGGGGAGCGAUCCGG
rnacentral:rRNA from 1 species